rnacentral:misc_RNA from 1 species
AAAAAAAUAUACAUGAUGAGGAUGAAUUCUCAGUGUUCUAAGAGUAGAAAGUCCCUCUAGACAAUUUUUAAUGACUCAAAACUAGAUACAUUGUUGAUAAUUUAAAAUUACAACACAAUGAGAUCCCUAUGGACCCUCAAAUGUACACAAAUAACUCAGCCAAUAGUCCCAAGAAGGCCAUGCAGUGUGAGAAAAAUCAUUUUGUUUCCCCUGCUAUUUUACCAUUUCAGCUCAAGGAACUUGUCUCUNCUCUGGAAUCAGAAGGAAGCAGAAAUCAUCCCCUUUGAAUAGGAGCUCUACACUGCAAUGAUGGGCAUCACACUAACUAAGGCAUCCUUGGUCUCUCAAAGCCCAACCCAUUUCACCCAUCUGAAAAUUCUGCCAACUCUGAAGGGCAACUCAUAGUCUUUGGUAACGGCAGGCUCCCUCCUUGCUGCCUCUGUGUCGGACCAUUCGUACACUCCACGCUCUUGUUGACUGCCAGGUACAGUGUUGUCCAGGAUAACAGCCACCAGGAAUGCAAUCACCAUAUGUAAGGAUAAUAACGUGUUUAAAAGGUAGUUCAACCCUCCAUAUUUGCUGCGGAAUGGUCCAUGAGAGGCAACAAU